rnacentral:SRP_RNA from 1 species
CCGUGCACGGUGGGGCGCUAGGGGUGCCCUGAACCCGAAAUCCUCUUCAUGCGGGACUGAUCCCCCGCCCGAGGGUGGAAGGUCACCGGGUCAGCAUCGGGAUCCAUUGGCGUUGAAGGCCGGGUCCUACGCGGCGGGACGUUGUGAACUGGGUCAGGUCCGGAAGGAAGCAGCCCUAAGCAGGUCAGUCCCGGGUGCCGUAGGGCAACCUGGUUGGAGUUGAUGCCCCGAAUAGCGCCAGUGAUCUUCGGCUCGACGGCGGGGGGCGCGG